AGUUGCAAAUAUCGUGGUGGCAUUACAAGUAGUCUUGCCAUCCGAAAUUUGUGAUUGA
rfam:Caenorhabditis briggsae complete genome, chrX